GAGCCACCACAUUGCCGAGCCGCCGCAUAUAGCGAUCAUGCGGCCUGUGGUAAAGAGUAAAGCCUGAGUUAGAUUACCCCUCCCAUCGAGCACGUUAGUUUCCUGCUUACCGCGUAAACAACCCGCUCAAUAAUAUGUUAGCCAAUCAGCUUGCCUUGCUUACUUUGAUAUGAUUGGACACUGUAUCCGUAUAUAUACUGGUGCCACCCCUGGGGGGAAGUAGAAGCCCGGAAGGAGCCGCGGAGAGCGGACCGGUAGAGGCUUCGGAGCGAAGCCCGGAAGGAGCCGCGGAGAGCGGACCGGUAGAGGCUUCGGAGCGAAGCCCGGAAGGAGCCGCGGAGAGCGGACCGGUAGAGGCUUCGGAGCGAAGCACGGAAGGAGCCGCGGGGAGCGGACCAGAGGAGGCUUCGGCUGGGAGCGAUCCCAGGGCAGGCUGUACGGAGAGAAAAUAAAAGAAAAGGUUGUCCACUGCCAGACUUUGUCGUGUGUCCUUCCUGCCGGCCGGGAGCGACAUCGACAUUUGGUGGCCCGCACGGGGAACAACUGAUCACCCCCGAGACGUGGUAGUGGACAACGUUCCUUGAUACAGCACUGCGAGACAGGAAUCGAGACGAGAACCACUGUGGGUACCGGAGAGACUGACACGGGCGACAAAGCCCUCGACUGAAGAUCAGACCUGCCCUACCGGAGAUCCAUCACAGACCAACCAACAAGAUGAAUAGAAAUAGCGGUAGCCCGAAAUGGACAAGAAGAUCCUCAGGCAUAUGCAUGGCUCGCUCGCCUAGCCUACGACCGAGUCUAGGGACGGUGAGCUUCCCACACUCCUCCUCUAAAAAAUUAUGAUAUAGCAGGGUAGAUGAGUCAAUGACGGGUAAGAGCAUGCCUCCCCAGCAUGACUCAACCUAAGACAGGCCCUACCCCAUACCGCACGAAAGCCGCUGAAUUACUAGGUUCCGCCCAAACCAAAUGUCGCCCCGGGGGGAUCAUGCGGAGCGACAUGAGUGUAUGCCUGUGUGCAUCCAGGUUCCGUCCGGUUCCUUCCUGGCCCUGGAAAAAGGACGAGGGCCUCGGGGCCUCGGCAGACUCGGGGACGGCCGACCCGGGCCGACGCCGAGAGCCCUUGGUGGGCCUCCUAUCAGGGCAUAGGCCUCUACACUCAAUUCAGGACGGGCUGCGAUGCGUAGACUUAUUUAAAAUAAAAAAGGGGGAGAUGUUGGGAGCCACCACAUUGCCGAGCCGCCGCAUAUAGCGAUCAUGCGGCCUGUGGUAAAGAGUAAAGCCUGAGUUAGAUUACCCCUCCCAUCGAGCACGUUAGUUUCCUGCUUACCGCGUAAACAACCCGCUCAAUAAUAUGUUAGCCAAUCAGCUUGCCUUGCUUACUUUGAUAUGAUUGGACACUGUAUCCGUAUAUAUACUGGUGCCACCCCUGGGGGGAAGUAGAAGCCCGGAAGGAGCCGCGGAGAGCGGACCGGUAGAGGCUUCGGAGCGAAGCCCGGAAGGAGCCGCGGAGAGCGGACCGGUAGAGGCUUCGGAGUGAAGCCCGGAAGGAGCCGCAGAGAGCGGACCGGUAGAGGCUUCGGAGCGAAGCACGGAAGGAGCCGCGGGGAGCGGACCAGAGGAGGCUUCGGCUGGGAGCGAUCCCAGGGCAGGCUGUACGGAGAGAAAAUAAAAGAAAAGGUUGUCCACUGCCA